UUCCAGACUCCUACGGGAGGCAGCAGUGGGGAAUAUUGCACAAUGGGGGGAACCCUGAUGCAGCGACGCCGCGUGGGUGAAGGAGCACCUCGGUGCGUAAAGCCCUAUCGGCAGGGAAGAAACAGACGGUACCUGACUAAGAAGCCCCGGCUAACUACGUGCCAGCAGCCGCGGUAAUACGUAUGGAGCAAGCGUUAUCCGGAUUUACUGGGUGUAAAGGGAGCGCAGGCGGCCUUGCAAGUCUGAUGUGAAAGGCCGGGGCCCAACCCCGGGACUGCAUUGGAAACUGCGAGGCUGGAGUGUCGGAGAGGCAGGCGGAAUUCCUAGUGUAGCGGUGAAAUGCGUAGAUAUUAGGAGGAACACCAGUGGCGAAGGCGGCCUGCUGGACGAUGACUGACGCUGAGGCUCGAAAGCGUGGGGAGCAAACAGGAUUAGAUACCCUAGUACC
rnacentral:rRNA from 1 species